UACGAAGGGGGCUAGCGUUGCUCGGAAUCACUGGGCGUAAAGCGCACGUAGGCGGCUUUUUAAGUCAGGGGUGAAAUCCUGGAGCUCAACUCCAGAACUGCCUUUGAUACUGAGAAGCUUGAGUCCGGGAGAGGUGAGUGGAACUGCGAGUGUAGAGGUGAAAUUCAUAGAUAUUCGCAAGAACACCAGUGGCGAAGGCGGCUCACUGGCCCGGUACUGACGCUGAGGUGCGAAAGCGUGGGGAGCAAACAGG
rnacentral:rRNA from 1 species